GACGAACGCUGGCGGCGUGCUUAACACAUGCAAGUCGAACGAAGAGCGACGGAAGCUUGCUUCUAUCAAUCUUAGUGGCGAACGGGUGAGUAACGCGUAAUCAACCUGCCCUUCAGAGGGGGACAACAGUUGGAAACGACUGCUAAUACCGCAUACGAUCUAAUCUCGGCAUCGAGGAUGGAUGAAAGGUGGCCUCUACAUGUAAGCUAUCACUGAAGGAGGGGAUUGCGUCUGAUUAGCUAGUUGGAGGGGUAACGGCCCACCAAGGCGAUGAUCAGUAGGCCGUCUGAGGGGAAGGACGGCCACAAUGGGACUGGAGCACGGCCCAGACUUCUACGGGGAGCAGCAGGGGGGAAUCUUCCGCAAUUGACGAAAGGCCGGCGGAGCAACGCCGCGGUGGUGAUGACGGCCUUCGGGUUGUAAAGCUCUGUUAAUCGGGACGAAAGGCCUUCUUGCGAAUAGUGAGAAGGAUUGACGGUACCGGAAGAGAAAGCCACGGCUAACUACGUG
rnacentral:rRNA from 1 species